rnacentral:lncRNA from 1 species
CCCGAAACCACCAGCCCAAGGUUCUCACGGAUCCAGUCAUCUCUCGUCUCCACGGAGGCCCACAGAACCAUGAGGACCCCUUUAAAAAGCUGCUGCUGGGGGGAGGCAGUGGCUGGGCACGCGAGGGGCAGGCGCCCGGGAGGCGCCCUAGUCCCAACCCCAAAGCGCCGAGGGACCCUGUGGGACUCAGGUCCGCCCUGGCCGCCCUCAAAGGCAGCAGCCUGAACCACCACGACCGGGUCAGCAGGGCACCUCGAGCGCGGCCAGGGGCGUCCUGGCGGAGCGGACACGGCGGGCAGGGCGCUGGGGCUGCGUGACCGCGGGCGCGGGAACCCGGCCAGGAGCCCGGAGUCGGCCCCGGGAGUGGGGGCCCGCGGGGGUCGCGCGGCAGGAACGAAGGUCUCCCAGCCAGGCCCGUGGGGGUCGCAGGUCGUUGGCUCUCCAUCCAGGCACCAGUCCCGGGGACUUACCUGCGCUCUGCGCUGGCAGCCAGAGCAGCGUGCGGUCCAGCCCCAGAAAUCCGGGCCUCCCACUCCCACGGCGCUACCUCCGCUGGCCCAGCAACGCCUCACGCGGACACCAGGCUGCCACGCCGACCGCCGCCACCGGCCCCGACGCUCGCCGCGAACUGGAGCACAGGCGGCCGGGCUCCUCGGCUCGGAGCGCGACCCUGCGCACGGAGCAUGCGCACACGCCCAACACCGAGGGCCGGGCGGGCCCGUGACACCUGCGAUCAACAGGUCCCGCCAGCCCCGCCCCUCGCCCCGCCCCGCCAGCCCCGCCCCCGAGCUGGCCCCGCCCCGCGCGCGACUUCCCGGGUUCUGGACCUGCCGAGCUGUGUUCCCGCGGGGGUUCCGUGGGGCGCGCGAGCCAGUUGACUUGCUCUGCGGCGCGAGAUCCCGCGAGAGCAGGAGCUCGAGUAUUUCCCCGAAGGCGGGAGCGGAGCGCGGGUUUAGCUUGGAGCAAGGUGUCUGCAGUUACCAAGAAAGCAGAGUGAAGACACCUGGAAAGAAGCUGUCGUGAUCAGUGCUUCCUGGAAGGCUGCAGGUUUGCUGUCAGAAUUCAGACAUGCUUCAUGAACACCUUUUCGUCCUGAGUAGCUUCUCACCGUCAGAACCAGAAGUAGAGUAAUAUCAUGGCCAAAUUACUGUCUAUGAGAUGAUAAACAUCAGUCGGGAAGGAAAGAAAGAAGGUAAGGGACAAUAAUACCAAAACAUGAGAGCAAAUGAUAGUAUUUUUAAUCGUGUGAUGUCUUAGAA